CUCGGGAUAGGGUUUGAACGAUCCGUACUCGUCACCACAUAUAGAAGGCGUCGACGGUCUGGCGGCUGCAUCAAACGAAACAAAUCGAGGAGAGAUCCGAUCCGAUCGGGAUCGGCCAUGGCGACGUCCAUGCGGCGAUCUGCCGUUGCUACCCUCGCGCUCCGGCGAUCGGCAAGCUAGCCCGAGGCUUCCGGCUCGCAUCCCUUUGAGCCCUGCGUCGGCUGUAUCCUUCAGCAGCAACACCGCCUCUUCCGGCAAGAGUGAGGACGCCGGCGGCCGGCAUCAAAAUUAAUUGGUACAUGCAGUCUGAGAAGCGUCGUACCGAUAAGAACGGCGACAAGUCACCUGGAGCACGGAGGCGACGCAAACAAAAAGGACAUGGCAUCUCCCGAAGCCUGCUUGAUGAGUUUGAUGAUUCUGACUGGGAGAUGGCGGCGCUUUUGGACGAUGACAAGCCUCCCCGAGGAUCUUCCACUGGACCAGACUCUACUAAGGACUCCUCCUCCUCCUCUGCGGCGGCAGAGUCGGACGUGUCCCCGCCGUCGUCAGGGGGCUUCUGGGACUGGGGAAGCUCUUCGUCGUCGGGCUCGGGUGGAGGGGACUCGUGGUCCGGAGGAGGGGGAUUCUCGGGAGACUAGCUACCUGCUAGAUACUCCUGUGAUUCUUAGCAAGUUUUUCCCAGUUUAAUUCGUCGGACUGUAAACCAUGUGAACUUUUUGUCUACAAAUGUUUCCUUUAUGCUACAUUUUAUAAGA